UACGUAGAGCGCAAGCGUUGUCCGGAAUUAUUGGGCGUAAAGAGCUCGUAGGCGGCCUGUUGCGUCCGCUGUGAAAUCCCGGGGCUCAACCCCGGGCGUGCAGUGGAUACGGGCUGGCUGGAGGCAGGCAGGGGAGAACGGAAUUCCUGGUGUAGCGGUGAAAUGCGCAGAUAUCAGGAGGAACACCGGUGGCGAAGGCGGUUCUCUGGGCCUGUACUGACGCUGAGGAGCGAAAGCGUGGGGAGCGAACAGG
rnacentral:rRNA from 1 species